UCAUUGCUGCCAUUUCAUUUUUCAUAAUUAUGUUUUUCUCGUUUCAGAUCCGCGUUAUCAUUUAGCACUUCAUUCAAUUUCUGUUCCAGUGCUCGAUAUUCAUUCGUAGGCAUAUUAUUCUGACUUGUUCCAUUUUUUCCACAUUAGCCAACUUUUGCUCAAGAUCGUCAAAUUUAUUUUGCAACUGAGUUGUCAAAAACGCAAUAGUUUUGUCCGUAUCCCGUCGUAGCUCAUUGAUUUCCUGAUUGAGUAACUUUUUGUCUUCAAGAAAUUCCGAUUCUGAAAGGAAUUGACCACUACUAGAUAUUUGCCCUUUUCCUGUAUCCAGAAGAAAGCCUCGGCAAUGUAUGAUAAACACAAAGAGAACAGAAAUCAUCAUUUUAGCUCUUAAAAAACCC
rnacentral:lncRNA from 1 species